rnacentral:rRNA from 1 species
UACGUAGGGUGCGAGCGUGUCCGGAAUUAUUGGGCGUAAAGAGCUCGUAGGCGGUUUGUCGCGUCUGCUGUGAAAUCCCGAGGCUCAACUCGGGUCUGCAGUGGGUACGGGCAGGCUAGAGUGCGGUAGGGGAGAAUGGAACUCCUGGUGUAGCGGUGGAAUGCGCAGAUAUCAGGAAGAACACCGAUGGCGAAGGCAGUUCUCUGGGCCGUAACUGACGCUGAGGAGCGAAAGCGUGGGGAGCGAACAGG